rnacentral:tRNA from 1 species
GCCACUUUAGCUCAGUAGGUAGAGCACAUCCUUGGUAAGGAUGAGGUCGACGGUUCGAUUCCGUUAGGUGGCUCCA